rfam:Dictyostelium fasciculatum unplaced genomic scaffold Scf_ET2XIPL01COFD4-5, whole genome shotgun sequence.
AAAAAGGUGUUUCUUAACACCAUCCAAUCUUAUUUUAAUCAAAUUU